GGAAGGAUCAUUAACACUUUAAUUAAAUCCUUUCAAUGCAUUUGUCAAACCUGUGAUUCGUCUCUUUUUAAUUCAAAAUACAUUUUUUCUUUAAAUUAAAAACGCUUUUCUUUCUUCUCACCAAGAAAGAAAAAGCAUUUUACUAAUUUAAAAACAACUGCUAGCAUUGGAUGUCUUGGUUCUCGCAACGAUGAAGAACGCAGCGAAAUGCGAUAAGUAAUGUGAAUCGUAGAAUUCAGUGAAUCAUCAAAUCUUUGAACGCAAAUGGCACUUCUGGGUACUCCCAGGAGUAUACCUGUUUGAGAAUCAUCACCCCAUCUCAUUUCUAAUUCGAUUUAGGAAUGGUCAAUGAGUUUUGCCAGCUGCCUUUGUCAAGAAAGGUGGAUGCCACUCUAAGUGAAUGUAAAAACUGCUCUUCAAAACAUUUAGACAAAUUCUUUCUUGUUUUAUCCAAGAAUGGCAUGCUAAGGUUGAGCUUCUCAGCCCCUUGCCAUUCUUUAAACAAUCAAAGCCAAUUUUCUUAAUGUUCUAAUUAGCAACACUCGAUUAAACCCACUUAAUCACACCUCAUGAUCUCAAAUCAGGCAAGACUACCCGCUGAAUUUAAGCAUAUCAUUAAGCGGAGGAAAAGAAACUAACCAGGAUUCCCCUAGUAACGGCGAGUGAAGCGGGAAAAGCUCAAUCUUAAAAUCGAAGGGGUCUCCUCUUCGAGUUGUAGAGUAUAGAGGCGUCUUCGGGGGAGUGCUCAGGUAUAAGUCCCUUGGAAGAGGGCGUCAUAGAGGGUGACAACCCCGUUUAUGACUUGGGCAUUUUCUCCAUAUGGGACGCUUUCGAAGAGUCGAGUUGUCUGGGAAUGCAGCUCUAAACGGGUGGUAAAUUUCAUCUAAAGCUAAAUAUUGGCGAGAGACCGAUAGCGAACAAGUACCGUGAGGGAAAGAUGAAAAGAACUUUGAAAAGAGAGUUAAAAGGGCCUGAAAUUGUUAGCAGGGAAGCGAUUAAAACUGGGCUUACGCCUUGGGAUUCGGUUUGGCUUCCUUUGGUGCCAGCAUGUCUAUGGAUCGCAAGACCUAGAUGUGCCGUCAUUCAUUGGUGCCUUUCUUAUUUUCCCAGGGUGUUGGUCAGCAUCAGUUAGGGUUUCAGGAAAUGGCCUCUAGGAAGGUAGGUGGGCCCUUCGGGGUUCACUGUUAUAGCCUGGGGGCAGCACUGUUAGCUUGACUGAGGAAUUGCAGCGCGCGCCAUGCUUGAGGCCCGCCCGAUGGUUGGUGGCAUCACUUAGGACAGCCUCGCUGUGCUUUGGAUGUCAUUAGCUACUUGGGCGUCGCCAUUCAUACGCGUGCUCUCGAUGCUGACACAACGGUUUUAACCGACCCGUCUUGAAACACGGACCAAGGAGUCUAACAUAUGUGCGAGUAUUUGGGUGGCAAACCCAAGUGCGCAAUGAAAGUAAAGGUGCACUCUGUGUACUUAGGUGCGAGCAGGUGGGUCUACCCAUCUGUGCAGCAUCGACCGGUCUGGAGGUUUUCUGAAAGAUCUGAGUAAGAGCAUAUCUGUUGGGACCCGAAAGAUGGUGAACUAUGCCUGAGCAGGAUGAAGCCAGAGGAAACUCUGGUGGAGGUCCGUAGCGGUUCUGACGUGCAAAUCGAUCGUCAAAUUUGGGUAUAGGGGCGAAAGACUAAUCGAACCAUCUAGUAGCUGGUUCCCUC
rnacentral:misc_RNA from 1 species